UUGUCCCAUUCUAGAGCUGAGAAGAGACAACAGGAAAGGGAAUCGCCUGCUAGUGUCGCGUCAGAUGUAUACAUGUCCACAAGUUGUUUAAGAAAAAGUAAGGUAAGAGGGAAUGAAAAGAAAUGAGAUAAAUAGACUCUAAGGUAUUUGGAGAUGCAAGGAGUGCAGCGUGACUUUUUCUAGUAGAUACGACUGUUGCACACAAAAGGCAAGAAGUCACCGAGUUCAAAACCAGAUGGACUGGUCUCUUCUGCGUUUCUGAGAAUAAAUUUAAGAGGACUACAACAGUUUGCUGCAACAGUUCUUCUCCAUGCUGGAUGGUUAUUCUUCAGACCUAAAAACGGUGUUUGGCAAGGAAGGCGACAUUCAAGGACAAAAGAUUAAGAGCAUCAUGUUUCCCAUAACGUAAGUAUGAUGAUGGAAAAAAACAUAGGAUCAAAUUUUAAAAAAUCUAUGUCGUAAUAUGUUAGUGACAGCUACUCCACUUAAAAUUGUUCCUUAAAAUAAAUUAAAAUAGUUUUUUUUAAAUGUGUGAUUACUUUGUUUGGCCUAAAGACUAACUCCAUUGAUGUCAGAAGAGUACAUCCUUAAAGCCCAGUGUGUGUUCCUCAAUGAAGAUCCUGGCAACCUUGUGAAAGAAUGGAUGGUAAGAAUGUUUUUUUUAUUUCAUGUAAAUUUAAAAUUUGAUAGUGAUUUAUAUAUGCUUUAAAAGUUGAAGUGUUAUAUAACAUCAUCCACUUUUUUAAUUUUACAUUUUAGAUCGUGGACGCCUUGAAGAAGCCAUGAUAGAGACAAUGCUACAAUGAAUGAGACAAAGAUGCAGAGGCAGAUGAUGACCCUGACGAUGUAGUCAUCGUUUCAAGUCCUGGACAAGUUGGGUAGUAUCCCACUUGCUGUGUUGUUGUUUGCUCCUGUAUACGCUCUUAAACUCAGCUACCCUCCACUAAAAGUUGUUUGAAAUAUUGGCACAAUGCUGUAUGUACAAUACUGGAUGUUAGUGACAUUUUGUAGCUGCCUUUGACAUUUGAAAGCUGUUUUAUCGUUUUUAUGAAGCUUAUAAAGUAUUCUAACCAGUCUAAAUCCAA